rnacentral:snRNA from 1 species
UUGCUUGCUUCAGUAGCACAUGUACUAAAAUUGGGACGAUACAGAGAAGGUUAGCAUGGCCCCUGCGCAAGGAUGACACGCAAAUUCGUGAAGCGUUCCAUAGUUUU